rnacentral:rRNA from 1 species
ACAACUUUCAGCAACGGAUCUCUUGGCUCUCGNAUCGAUGAAGAACGCAGCGAAAUGCGAUAAGUAAUGUGAAUUGCAGAAUUCAGUGAAUCAUCGAAUCUUUGAACGCACCUUGCGCUCCUUGNUAUUCCGAGGAGCAUGCCUGUUUGAGUGUCAUUA